rnacentral:lncRNA from 1 species
CUGAAAUUGGAUAAACAGAGUCUAAGGUCAAGACUAUAUGCUUUUAAUUGAUUAUGUCAUGAUAAUCAGUGGUUUGGAGAGCUAUAAGAGACUGUAAAGUUUGUUUUCAUGCUUCAUUUAUAAAUCAAUUCAUAUUUAUCAAGUUUAUAUUUUAUGUCAUCUGUCAUUGUGAUUGAAAUGAUUUGGGAGAACUUACUGGAAUGGGUAACCUCCUAUUAUAUUUUUUUUGCUUCUGUGACUUCUAUAGGAAAUUGAAGUCAAUAUGGAGCCUUCUGAAAAAAAAAAAGGAUGAUCUGAUAGAGAGCAUGGUGGAUAGCUGCUUAUAACAUGUCAUCAGGGAAGAAGAGCAAGAACAAGGAAGGAAUCCAGAACAGAGCUAAACCCUUCCAGGCUCUUCUCACCAGAGCCGAACAGGAAGCACUGAUGUCCCGGGAUCCAUCUUCUUGCAUAGUUGAUCCAUCAUAGCAGCAACUACAAUCAAAAGAACACAUCUUGGAGAC